rnacentral:ncRNA from 1 species
AACCCCGCUUGGAAAGGUGUAACCGCACCACCAAUAGCGAACCUUGGACACGACAUGGUAACAUGUUGUGUCAAGCGUAGGAAGUUAGGCGAUAGGGUCAUAAGGCAGUUUAGCCCCGAAAUCAUACAUAACUGAUGUGCCGACACUGUUUACUUGGUGGAAGGCAAAACGGACAGAAUUCGCUAAGGUGAGAAUCUGUCUGGCAUCACGGGG